UCCAGAGACUUCAGAUGACAAACAUUCCAAGCUAAUUGGUCGAAGAGAGAUCAUACUUAGGAGCAGUGAAUUAGCUAUGAUCGGAGCUAUAUUCCAGCUCGGAGUG